UACGGAGGGUGCGAGCGUUGUCCGGAAUCAUUGGGCGUAAAGGGCGCGUAGGUGGCCACUUCAAGCGUGCGGUGAAAGUCGGGGGCUCAACCCCUGAUCCGGCCGUGCGAACUGGGGGGCUGGAGCACUGUAGAGGCAGGCGGAAUUCCGGGUGUAGCGGUGGAAUGCGUAGAGAUCCGGAAGAACACCGGUGGCGAAGGCGGCCUGCUGGGCAGUUUUGCUGACACU
rnacentral:rRNA from 1 species